UAGAAUUUAAGGAUAAGGUAGGGU
rnacentral:miRNA from 1 species